rnacentral:lncRNA from 1 species
AUUUUCCAUAGUAGAUAUAUUAUAUUAAAUCUAUAGUAAUAAAUUCAGCUUGUCAUAUCCUUACCAACCAUUUUUCUUUUUCUUUUUCUUUUUUUUUAAUAAAUAGUAGCCACAAUCAUAUCUGUGAGUGGUAUCUUAUUGAAAUUUUGAUCUUGCUUUUCCUUUAUCAUUUGUGAUAUUUUAUAUUUUUUCAGCUUGUCAGCACUUACUUAUCAGUCACUCUGACACCAGUGGAGAAAUUUCUAUAAAAGUUAUUUUGAACAGUUACUAUUUUUUAAUUUUAAAUUUCCUUUACCCUGGACAUUAAUUCUUUGUGUAAUUAGAAAUUACUUAAGUCAGUGGCUCCUUACUGCCUGUGUGCCUGCUGUUCCAAUAACAUAGGUACAGUAGCAAGCCAAGGGGUCAGAGAUUACUGCUACUCUAUAAGUAGUGAAAUUGAAGAAAAUUAGCCCCAGUUAAUUCCCAAACUUUGCAUUUGCCCUCUAUAGAUUCGGAACUCAGACUUAAGUCAAGCAGGUGGAUGUCACCAAUACAUCUGCCUGGUCGACAAUCAGAUUUCUCUAACUCCUUUUCUGCCAUAUGGUGGUUUAAGUAGGAAUGGCCCCCACAGACUCAUGGGUUUCAAUGUGUGGGUCAUAGGAAGUGGUUUAUUAGGAACGGUGGCUUUGUUGAAGUAGGUGUGACCUUGUUAAAGGAAGUAUGUCACUCUGGAGGCGGGCUUUGAUGUGUCAUAUGCUCAAGCUAGGCCUAGUGGGACGGUUUCCUUCUGCUGCCUGCAGAUCAGUAUGAGAGUUCUCAGCUCUGUCUUCAGCACCGUGCUUGCAUGGUGCCGUGCUUCUCACCAUGGUGAUAACAGACUGAACCUCUGAAUCUAAGCCAGCUAAAUGUUGUCCUCUAUAAGAGUUCCUGUGGCCAUGGUGCCUCUUCACAGCCAUAAAACCCUAACUAAGACUUGCCCUUUUCCCAAAGUUUUAGGAUGGUUUUGAUAACUUUUAAAGUACAUCAUUAAUGAACUAUUUUCAUUAAUAAACAACAUACAAGGUUGUAUAAAAUAAUGACCUUCAUUGUAAUAUAUUUGUACCUGCCUGUAAUAGCUUUUGGAUCAUGUUUGCUUCCAGAUCUAUCUCCCCUACUGCCAGUCCCUUUUUCAUUUUUUAACAUGCUCCCAUUAGCCAAGGUUGGCCUUGAAGUACUUACCUCAUGAGGAAGGACAGCGUUGACCAGAUGAACCUUCCUAGAUGUUUAAAUGUAUGAUCUAGGUAAUCAUGCCCAGCCAACCGCUGUGUAUUUCCUAAUUCUCCUCUUUCUAAUCCUCUAUCUGUUGCCAACUCUUUUUCCCUAGAUUCUACAUAUGAGUAAAACAUCUGAGCCCAUCUAACACUACUUAAUAUAAUGAUCUCCUACUCCCUCCAUUUUCCUUUAAGAAAUAUAAGCUUUGCUUAAACCCUACAUUUCUGCUUUGUGUUUUUCUAAGAACUUUCAUUUCUAUUCUCUCACACAUUACCUCUACAUUAUGAUACAAACACAAUUUAUAAAGCUGAUGAUAAUAAAUAUAAUAAAUUAUAUGUAUAAUAUAUAAGUGUAUAGUAUAUUAGAAAAUACAUGAAUUAGAUAUAUAUGUAUAUAUUUAUAUUAGACUUUAUAUAUCAGAAUAUAUUUAGAUUAGAUGAUACUCAUAUUAGAAGAACUCACACCAGUGUUUUAGGCGAAUACAGCCAGUUAGGUGCAUUAGUUUCCUAGAUUUAAGAAAAUGAGGAAAAAAACUUUUUUUUCUCUUCUGGAGAUUCUCAAGUCUCCAGUGAGGUCACCACAGGGAAGGCACUCAUUUUCCCUGGUCCUCCCUGCUUUAGCAGCUCCACGUGACUAUUUCCUGCUGUCUGUAUCCAAAACGUUCUGUCCAUUCACCCUGUUCUCUGUAUCCCUGUUCUGAUAAGGACCCUAGCCAUGUUAGAUUAGGACCCAAUUUUAGGCCUUGUUCUAAUUUUACUACCCCUUUAAAGACCUUAUGUUAAUUAAAAAUUAAUUCAGAAAAGAAAUUAAGCCUUUCCUUCCAAAUAUGAAUAAGAAAUGAGACGUUAGCAUAUGGGCUGAAUGGGAGCAACUCAAAGCAGUUUGAAAUAUGCCUUUCGCUUAAGACCUCAAUUUUUUCUGCAUUUGUAUUUCUCGGGUGACUUUUCCCUUCCUCUCUUCUUCAGAUCCUUUUAGCACUUUCUAAAUCUCUUAACACUUCUCUAGUAAUUCUAGAUUUGACCUACCAGGCUUCCACAAACAGAAGGUAAGAGCAUGUUCUUCUCUUGGCCAGUAUUAUCAUCAUGGUUCAAAUUGUCGCCACUAUUUUCAAUAUGAAUUUCCUUCUUAUUACUCAAUAUGUAUCAGUUUGUCCCUCCUCAAAAACAUUUGCUACAUCUGUUGGUCUCGUUCCAUAGGUUAGAAUGUCUUGGCAGGCAGAGGCUAUGUCUUUUUAUCAGUAUUUUCAGCACAACUCUGAGCUGAAAGCCUUCCUAUCAUAACACAAACACCCAUGUGCACACACACAGUUGCUUUGUUUUUGUUUGUGGAAAAGCUACUCAUUUCCUUCUGUAUAUUUAAGCACAUUUAAAAACCAAAAAACCAAUUCCUUUCAGGUUACACAUUCAUAUUAUAGGCCUUAAACUUUGUUUUUGACUUAUCCUUAUAAUUUAUCCAUGUACUUCCUAUGGCACAAAGUCCCUCAUACGCGUUCAAUAAUGGUUACUAGUUUCAUUCAGACAUAUUAAAAAUAAGCUCUCUGGGGUUGAGGUGUGGCUGAGAUGUAAUGUUUAUGUAGUCACAAGACCACACACACCAAGGUUGAUUUCCAAUUCUGAAAAACAAAACAAAACAAAACAAAACAACAGCAACAACAAAAACAAAGAAAUAAUAAAUAAAUAAUCUUCAUUUCCAGGAAGCUUACAUUCCUAGCUUUUGGAGUUUUGAUGUUGCUGGCUUUUUUCUUCUCCUUUCUUGUUUUGACUUUUCUUUACUUUUUUUAAUACUGACUUCUUUUGAAAGAAAGAAAACGUCUAAGUCAGCCUAGAUGUGUUUUGUUGUUGUUUUGUUAUUGUAAAAUCAUUAUCAUGUUGUUUAACUUCUUAACCCAGCAUCCAGGCGAAUAGCAGCCCAUCACCCUUACACAACUGCAGAGGGCAAAUUCCAUCGAAACGUCCAAUGUGGCUACAGAAAUUGUCUUCUCUUGUCUGACGCUGGGAAGCUUAUUUGCCCAAUGCAGCUCCUUCCCACUGAGGGGCUUUCCAUGGAAAUGUCUUAAGUCAAUUCACAGUCAGGCUUCUGCAACCACAUCCUAUCCAGGCGGCACUGGUACUGUUUUCCUAAACCAAUCUGAGUUCUCUUGCCUUCAGCUACCAUUCUGCUUUCCCCUGAAUUCUAGACAGUCCCCAUUUGCAAUAGUGAUUUAUUGACAGAUUCUCAUUCAAUCUCUUUAAAAAAUGAUCACAGUUGUAGAUGGGUUAUAAUGACAAGCUUGUUUUGGGUGGGCUUACUGAAGAGUCUUGAUAUCUUGUGCCCUCCUUUUGGCAAUUACCUCUUUUGUAGUUACCAAUACAAGGUUACCUUCAGUAACCUUGAACUCACUGUAUUUUAACCUAGUUUUCCCCUGUAAGGGGACAUUCCCCUCCUCUGCACACGGCUGUAUAGGUUCUCUGUGGACAUUCCUCUGAGCCUUACCAGUGUUCUUCUCACACUAUUAAUUAAACGAGAAAUACUAUUACAGCAUU